GAUGAACGCUAGCGAUAGGCCUAACACAUGCAAGUCGAGGGGCAGCACAUGAGUAGCAAUACGAUGGUGGCGACCGGCGCACGGGUGAGUAACACGUAUGCAACCUACCUUUAACAGGGGAAUAACCCGUUGAAAAACGGACUAAUACUCCAUAACACAGGGGUCCCGCAUGGGAAUAUUUGUUAAAGAUUUAUCGGUUGAAGAUGGGCAUGCGUUCCAUUAGCUUGUUGGUGAGGUAACGGCUCACCAAGGCUACGAUGGAUAGGGGAACUGAGAGGUUUAUCCCCCACACUGGAACUGAGACACGGUCCAGACUCCUACGGGAGGCAGCAGUGAGGAAUAUUGGUCAAUGGAGGCAACUCUGAACCAGCCAAGUCGCGUGAAGGAUGAAGGUCUUAUGGAUUGUAAACUUCUUUGCAAGGGAAUAAAGUGGGGACGUGUCCUCUUGCAUGUACCUUGCGAAUAAGGAUCGGCUAACUCCGUGCCAGCAGCCGCGGU
rnacentral:rRNA from 1 species